AUUGAACGCUGGCGGCAUGCCUUACACAUGCAAGUCGAACGGCAGCACGGGUGCUUGCACCUGGUGGCGAGUGGCGGACGGGUGAGUAAUACAUCGGAACAUGUCCUGUAGUGGGGGAUAGCCCGGCGAAAGCCGGAUUAAUACCGCAUACGAUCUACGGAUGAAAGCGGGGGACCUUCGGGCCUCGCGCUAUAGGGUUGGCCGAUGGCUGAUUAGCUAGUUGGUGGGGUAAAGGCCUACCAAGGCGACGAUCAGUAGCUGGUCUGAGAGGACGACCAGCCACACUGGGACUGAGACACGGCCCAGACUCCUACGGGAGGCAGCAGUGGGGAAUUUUGGACAAUGGGCGAAAGCCUGAUCCAGCAAUGCCGCGUGUGUGAAGAAGGCCUUCGGGUUGUAAAGCACUUUUGUCCGGAAAGAAAUCCUUGGCCCUAAUACGGUCGGGGGAUGACGGUACCGGAAGAAUAAGCACCGGCUAACUACGUG
rnacentral:rRNA from 1 species